UACGGGGGGAGCAAGCGUUGUUCGGAUUUACUGGGCGUAAAGGGCGCGUAGGCGGUCAGCACAAGUCAGUUGUGAAAUCUCCGGGCUUAACUCGGAAAGGUCAACUGAUACUGUGCGACUAGAGUGCAGAAGGGGCAACUGGAAUUCUCGGUGUAGCGGUGAAAUGCGUAGAUAUCGAGAGGAACACCUGCGGCGAAGGCGGGUUGCUGGGCUGACACUGACGCUGAGGCGCGAAAGCCAGGGGAGCGAACGGGAUUAGAUACCCCGUAGUCC
rnacentral:rRNA from 1 species